GGGGAAUGAAGUUCAUUAAUUGGUUGUGGUCACGGGAAGAGAAGGAGAUUGCUAUUGUUACCCACAGUGGAUUUUUGUUUCAUACCUUGAGCAAGUUUGGGAACGACUGCCACCCUUCAGUUAAAGAUGAAAUCAGUAAACAUUUUGCCAAUUGUGAGCUUCGGUCCAUGGUCCUGGUCGACAGAAGCAUGCUUGGGUCGAGCCCCUCUGCUACCAAUUAUCCUGGAAAGAUCCCGUCAGGCCUCGAUCUUCCGAGUGAUCUCGCAAAUGAGAAACACCCAGAUGGGAAAAGUGGUGGGAAGUAAGUCUUUUAUUGGCCAUUGAGACUUGGCUCAGUCGAUCGCUAUUUUUGUGGAGAUUGUACUGGAGC
rnacentral:misc_RNA from 1 species